rnacentral:ncRNA from 2 species
UAACACUUGUCGGGGUGCCGUUUUACGGCUGAGAAAUACCCGCUGACCUGAUCUGGAUAGUACCAGCGUAGGGAACAAGUUGCCCGCCUUG